AGAAAAGUCCUGCAACAAACAAUG
rnacentral:siRNA from 1 species